CCUGAAAUGUGGUCAUAUUUUCAGAUGUUUCUCCAAUAGUCAUCUCUUUGGGCAACAGAUUUUCUGAGGCUGUCCAAAAGGAAAUUAUCAUUGCAGGUGUGAGCACCCUACUGUGAAGGAAUGCCGUGUUACAAUGUAGGUCAAGAUUUAACCAACUGUGAAAAACAAACAAACUAUAAAAAUCAUCAUAAGUUCCUGCUGUGAUCUUCUGGAAUGUACAAUCUAAAAGAAGUAUACCUUACUGUUAUUCUUCAAUGCUAAACUACGUGGCCAAAAAGCAAAUCAAUUUGGAGUGGAAAAUGGUCCAUAUGCAUCUCAAUAAAAGCAAUUUUAUCUACUUGUAUAACAGCUUAUACAUUCUCCUAAUGAUGAAACAAAGCAUGUGAGGCAAGGUGGCAUUUGAAAUAGAGUUUAUAACAUGAAUUAUUGGGAGAAUGUAC